CCCAGUUCGGAUUGCAGGCUGCAACCCGCCUGCAUGAAGUUGGAAUCGCUAGUAAUCGCGGAUCAGCAUGCCGCGGUGAAUACGUUCCCGGGCCUUGUACACACCGCCCGUCACACCAUGAGAGUCGGGAACACCCGAAGUCCGUAGCCUGACCGCAAGGGGGCGCGGCCGAAGGUGGGUUCGAUAAUUGGGGUGAAGUCGUAACAAGGUAGC
rnacentral:rRNA from 1 species